GACGAACGCUGGCGGCGUGCUUAACACAUGCAAGUCGAACGGAAAGGCCCUGCUUUUGUGGGGUGCUCGAGUGGCGAACGGGUGAGUAACACGUGAGUAACCUGCCCUUGACUUUGGGAUAACUUCAGGAAACUGGGGCUAAUACCGGAUAGGAGCUCCUGCUGCAUGGUGGGGGUUGGAAAGUUUCGGCGGUUGGGGAUGGACUCGCGGCUUAUCAGCUUGUUGGUGGGGUAGUGGCUUACCAAGGCUUUGACGGGUAGCCGGCCUGAGAGGGUGACCGGCCACCUUGGGACUGAGGUACGGCCCAGACUCCUACGGGAGGCAGCAGUGGGGAAUAUUGCACAAUGGGCGGAAGCCUGAGGCAGCAACGCCGCGUGCGGGAUGACGGCCUUCGGGUUGUAAACCGCUUUCGCCUGUGACGAAGCGUGAGUGACGGUAAUGGGUAAAGAAGCACCGGCUAACUACGUG
rnacentral:rRNA from 1 species